UUCACUAUAUUCUUUCUCUUAUCUCUUGAUCAAAUUGCUAGCCCGCUUCGAUUUCUUGUCCUGCAAGCUGAUUCGUUGAUGUGUUUGUGAUGGUACUGAUUGGAAAUGCCUCGCGCCUUUGUCGGAUUAUGAGGAUCGGGAUUUCUUCUGUUGGUGAUGGGUUUGAUGGGAUCGGUUUAAUUUUAAAGAGCAUAAAGUAGGGUUUAUGCAUUUGAAGCGUAAAUUCUACUUGAGGAUCGUCAUGCGGUGGCCCUGAAUCUGCCUACUUCGCUUAGUUAUCUUUUACCCGUUAGUUUCUACUUCAAAUCAUGGCAGUUAACGGGCUUUGCAGAAACUUUAUAUUUGAUUCAUUUGAUUUGAAUUUUAUUUUGAUCCAUAAACUUGUUUUUCAUGGAGAUAAAUCUAUUACCUUACUUAAGUUGCUGAGCUGUUGUUCUUCUCCUCAUUCAUGAUCACUGUAUUUAACAUAAUAAAUAUUUAUUACUUAGUGAUGGAUUUCCGGUUGUUGGUAGAUUAAGUGAUAUCCUGUAGAUUCAUCGCAUUCUUUUUGGAUCGGAUCCUCAAUGCUUCUUUACCGUACCAGUUUGUGCAUCUGCAUGGUUUUAUGAAAGAAAAAAAGCUAUACGCCCCAAAAAAAUAGUCUUCAUGCAAGUGUUUUGACUUUUGGGUGUUGAUAUUACCUCCGAGUCCAUCAUAUUGGAGUAAAAAGAUAUAUUGGACGGAUAUCUACUGUAUGCAACAUUACAAAUUAUUGUUGGCGGGCCCGUGGGUUGACAUAAUUGCGCUGAAUUAAGGUAUUUGAUGUGUAUUUCAUAACUUUGGUUAGCUCCAGUUCGUGAACGGCAUAUGACAAUGAAAAGUCCUUUAGGGUCCGAACAGUAGCAAUCAGCAUCCUUCUUAACUGUGUGGAAAUGUGGAAUUAUAAUUUAAUUUCAUGUAAUUGUUUUGGAUUUUCUUCCCUAGCGUCUUAUUGAGCUAGUUUGAAUUUGUACCGAGUAGCACGAUCCCCCAUAACAACUGAAGUGAAAUAGAACCAUUAAAAUUUUAAUUUAUACGUGCUUUAUGUCAAGUUUUUUCAUGCUUGAAUUUGGGCUUUCAAAAAAUCACUAUGGGAUUGUUUGGUUGGAUGAAAAAGAAAUGAAGAGUAAAAUGAAAUAUAAUAUAAAAAAUGAAGUGUAUUAAAAUUUUUUGAUGUUAUUUAGUUGAGUGUAUGAUAAAUGCAUGUUCUUUUUUUUUUUUUAAGUAAAAUGAAUGUAGUGUAAAGCUCAAGGAUGGUGGUAGCCUAUAGCUGGUGGGGGGCUGUAGCAGUGGUGUCAGCCAAUGGCGAGUGGCUACUGACGAAGGACGGGCUGUUGUAGCUUUCUAUGGAAAUGACAAAAUUACAGACUAAUAUUUUCUAAUAAGUUAUGAGUAAACUAGAGUGAAUUCCAAAUACACAAAAUUUUUUUUUGCAUAUCUUUUACUUUAGACCGUACAAAUAUUUUCAAAACCCAUCUAUUUGUUACAACCCUUUUACUUCAAAGUUCAAACCAAACAAACCCUAAAUAAGCUAGGAAGGCUUUAAUUGUUUAAAACUUUAAAUAGACAUAAAAAUUAUUCGCCUUUACAUGAAGUGUUGUUUUAUCUUUUGAAAACUAGUAUUCCACGAUGUAAAUUAGUUGUAUUGGGAUAAGACUGCAUAAACUCAAUUGAAGAUGGGGUUUAGUUGGCGUAGUAUGCUUAGAAAAUUCAGAUCUAAAAUUGGCUCUUAGUUUUGGGCUGAGAGCAAUGCAAAUCUUUGCGAGCCAUUGGAUUUCUGCAUUUACAAGGGUCUAUAUUCUAUUUAAAAAUUUCUUAAGGUUGCUUUUAGUUUUCUCUCAAAUACCUUAAUACCAUUUGCUCAUUCCAAAUUUUUUUUUUAUUAACAUUCUGUUUGGGCUGUUCAUAUAUGAAUGAUUAUUUGUUGUGUUGGCCAUUUAAGCUUUUUCUCACACUUAUAUUGGUAUCUCUCUCUCCCUAAGUCUUGUAUCGACUACUUUCAUCUUAAUUUAAGUUUUUUGUUAGUUUAUAUUUUCCUAUUGUUCAAAAGAAUGGAAAUAUGUAUGAGCGCACGACUUCCAAACUUGAAGUUGGGUUAUUAGAA